rnacentral:rRNA from 1 species
AGAGUUUGAUCAUGGCUCAGGAUGAACGCUGGCGGUGUGCUUUAGGCAUGCAAGUCGAACGGUAACAGUGGAAGCUUGCUUCCAGCUGACGAGUGGCAGACGGGUGAGUAACGCGUAGGAAUCUGCCCUUUGGUGGGGAAUAGCUCAACGAAAGUUGAGGUAAUACCGCAUAACCCCAUUUAUGGGAAAAGGCCUUUUGGUCGCCGAAGGAGGAGCCUGCGUCCUAUCAGCUUGUUGGUAAGGUAAAGGCUUACCAAGGCAAUGACGGGUAGGGGGCGUGAGAGCGUGGCCCCCCACAAGGUUACUGAGACACGGAGCCUACACCUACGGGUGGCAGCAACCGGGAAUAUUGCGCAAUGGGCGAAAGCCUGACGCAGCGACACCGCGUGUGGGAUGAAGCAUUUCGGUGUGUAAACCACUGUGGCGAGGGAAGAAGAUCUGACGGUACCUCGCUAGAAAGCACCUGCUAACUACGUGCCAGAAGCCUCGGUAAUACGUAGGGUGCGAGCGUUAUCCGGAUUUACUGGGCGUAAAGGGUUUCGCAGGCGGAUUGUUAGGUCGUAUCUUAAAGACCAAGGCUCAACUUUGGGACUGGAUAUGAUACUGGCAGUCUAGAGGAUGUUAGGGGAGAUCGGAAUUCUCGGUGGAGGGGUGAAAUCCGUUGAUAUCGAGAGGAAUGCCAAUGGCGAAGGCAGAUCUCUGGAGCAUUCCUGACGCUCAUGUACGAAAGCUAGGGUAGCAAACGGGAUUAGAUACCCUGGUAGUCC